AACGAACGCUGGCGGCAUGCCUAACACAUGCAAGUCGAACGAGACCUUCGGGUCUAGUGGCGCACGGGUGCGUAACGCGUGGGAAUCUGCCCUUGGGUUCGGAAUAACUCGCCGAAAGGCGUGCUAAUACCGGAUGAUGUCGUAAGGCCAAAGAUUUAUCGCCCAGGGAUGAGCCCGCGUAAGAUUAGGUAGUUGGUGAGGUAAAGGCUCACCAAGCCGACGAUCUUUAGCUGGUCUGAGAGGAUGAUCAGCCACACUGGGACUGAGACACGGCCCAG
rnacentral:rRNA from 1 species